UCGUCGCUCCCGGUACUCAGGUCCUCGCGCGCGCCUUUGUUAGUUUCCCGGCGGGGCGAGCGGAGGUCAGUGCGGCGCGCACUACCGGAGCGUCUGGCGGGGGUCCCUGCCUCCCACAGUGCAGAGAGAAAUGAAUUGUUUGUAAAGGGCUUGGCUGUAAAACCGGAUCAGGGAAGCGUUAAGAUCCGGGACAAACUCUCCCAGGAAUCUCAAGGAAACUCCCAAGCCCUCUUACAUCCAGUAGAACCCAGCUGAGCAGGUCUGUGGAGAAGGAUGUUUCACAGGGCUCACCAUCAAGAUUUCAGGCGUGCACUGCCCUGGCUGGACCCUGCUGGAACGGAACUGGCAGCAAGCCUGAGAAAAAGGAACAAGAUUCUGGGCCAAUUGUCUCAGAAGAGCCUUUCCUGGGAAUUUGGCCAUUUCUUCAGAAAUUGAUAUUUCUAACCCACUGCUGCCCUCCCGGGUUCUUGAUGGCAGGUUGGUGCUGUGAGGACCCCCACUGAAAAGAUGUGGAACUGGAGCAGGGAGUUCCUGGCUGCUAAAUGGAGGAACAGGAAUGCCUUGUCAGGUAAUCUGACUUUAGGUUCCUGGACUUAAACAUUUACUAAGCUGCCUUGAAAUUCAGAACACAAGUGGCCCUUGUUAACUGUGGGACUAACUGCUCCCUCCCAAGUAGGCAUGAUAGUAUCCACUGAUCUAACCUGCAGAGUCAGCACCCACCCAUGUGCUUUUGACUUCAGGAGAACAACAAAUCCUGUGUACCUCCUUGUUUUCCACCGCCCCUUCUACUGAGAGAUCCAGAUUGGAGUUUCUUCUUGUAAUUUAAGAAAAUGAAAUAAUGCAAUUGUUUUAAGUGCAUUUAAACAAGAAACAAAGAUAAAACACCAUCAUCCUAUGUGAGUGUUGGUUCAAGUUCCAGGUGCACCACUUUUGAUCCAGCUCCCUGCUAAAGAACCUGGGAAAGUAGGAGAAGAUUGUCCAAGGACUUGGGCCCCUGUGACCCAUGUGGAGGACCCAAAUGGAGUUUCAGGCUGCUUGCCCAGCCCUAGGUAUGGGGGCAAUUUGGAAAGUAAACCAGCAGAGAGAAGAUCAACUUCUCCCCCUCCCUCUCUGUAGUCUGCCUUUCAGAUAAAUAAAUAAAUCUUAAAAAAUAA